ensembl:lncRNA
CCCAACUAUUCAGCUCUGCCAAAUCAAACUAUUAUGGGGAUAAAAUUCAAGCUCCAGUGAGUUAGAUGUGCAUCCCAAAAACACAAAAGGAAGUUUAACUAUCUAAUCUGAAGCAAUCCAUCCAAAGCACAGACAAACAAGGGCGGCUUUGAAGGUUACUUGCUGGCUUUUCUCAAUGGGGUGCACUUACUACAAUCAAAUAAUUUAUGAUAGAAGCUGUUUGGACUCUCAUUCUGACGGCACCCAUUCACCUCAGAGGAUCCAUUGGUGAGCAAAUGAUAAUGCUAAAUCUCUCCAAAUCUGUUCCGAUGAAGAAACAAACUCAUCUACAUCCUGGACAGCCUGAGGUGCCCGAGAGUGACAGCCAGCUGAACUACACACUUCUCCUUGACUGUUCCAGAUGGCUGGAAAAGCAGCUCGUACCCCACCACAAAACCACAAAUUAGAAUUAUGAACUGUUACAAAUUCAGUCAAGCAUCUGAAGGUCAGCUUUUCAAAUUCAACUCUACACAAGCUCAUAUGAGAGUAUGAGACUAUUAGCUCUAGUCCUCUAAACUGAGAAGAGUUCUAUGUUUAAGCCAGUAAAGUGAAGUAAACAG